rnacentral:rRNA from 1 species
UACGAAGGGGGCUAGCGUUGUUCGGAUUUACUGGGCGUAAAGCGCACGUAGGCGGAUCGAUCAGUCAGGGGUGAAAUCCCAGAGCUCAACUCUGGAACUGCCUUUGAUACUGUCGAUCUGGAGUAUGGAAGAGGUGAGUGGAAUUCCGAGUGUAGAGGUGAAAUUCGUAGAUAUUCGGAGGAACACCAGUGGCGAAGGCGGCUCACUGGUCCAUUACUGACGCUGAGGUGCG